rfam:Clostridium perfringens str. 13 DNA, complete genome.
CCUUUGGAGAGCCAUAAAAAAUCGUAGUAGCUUAGGCAAGGCGAGGUUCAAUGAAGAAGGAA